UACGGAGGGGCGAGCGUUAUUCGGAAUUAUUGGGCGUAAAGGGCGCGUAGGCGGCUCGAUAAGUCAAAGGUGAAAUCCCUCGGCUCAACUGAGGAACUGCCUUUGAAACUGUCGAGCUUGAGUCCGGGAGGGGUAGCGGAAUUCCCAGUGUAGCGGUGAAAUGCGCAGAUAUCAGGAAGAACACCCGUGGCUAAGGCGGUUCUCUAGUACGGUACUGACGCUGAGACGCGAAAGCGUGGGAGCGAACAGG
rnacentral:rRNA from 1 species